UACGUAGGGUGCGAGCGUUGUCCGGAAUUACUGGGCGUAAAGGGCUCGUAGGUGGUUUGUCGCGUCGUCUGUGAAAUUCCGGGGCUUAACUCCGGGCGUGCAGGCGAUACGGGCAUAACUUGAGUACUGUAGGGGUAACUGGAAUUCCUGGUGUAGCGGUGAAAUGCGCAGAUAUCAGGAGGAACUCCGAUGGCGAAGGCAGGUUACUGGGCAGUUACUGACGCUGAGGAGCGAAAGCAUGGGUAGCGAACAGGAUUAGAUACCCUGGUAGUCCAUGCCGUAAACGGUGGGCGCUAGGUGUGAGGGUCUUUUCACGACUUUCGUGCCGUAGCUAACGCAUUAAGCGCCCCGCCUGGGGAGUACGGCCGCAAGGCUAAAACU
rnacentral:rRNA from 1 species